UGCCAGCCGCCGCGGUAAUACGGAGGGUGCAAGCGUUGUUCGGAAUUAUUGGGCGUAAAGCGCGCGUAGGUGGUCAAAAAAGUCGGAUGUGAAAGCCCGGGGCUCAACCUCGGAAGUGCAUUCGAAACUAUUUGACUUGAGUCCUGGAGAGGGUAGCAGAAUUCCUGGUGUAGAGGUGAAAUUCGUAGAUAUCAGGAGGAAUACCGGUGGCGAAGGCGGCUACCUGGACAGUGACUGACACUGAGGUGCGAAAGCGUGGGUAGCAAACAGGAUUAGAUA
rnacentral:rRNA from 1 species